CUGAACACGUGACACCAGAGGCACAAAAGCUCGAGAGAGAGAUGCAUGCUGGUGCCAAGAUUCAGCUGAUUUUCCAUCAUACUUAUUUACAGCACCCUGGGUGUAUCCCUGCAUCUCACUCAUGCUCCAAACAUCCUGGCUUUCCUGCUGUUGUCCUGGAACACGAGGAAAUGAACUGGGCACGGUGUUCCCUCUGGAGAGGUGCACCGGAGCAAUCGCUUCCAGAUUUCUCCCAGUGCCACGAGAAUCCUCAGCUCCAGCAGCCCCCAGGAGAGCAGAGGGUGCUGUGUGCUCUCCUGGGGGCUGCCCCCAUGGACAUGGGGGGGGUCUUCCUGCAGGAAUAAACUCAUAAAUAAAU